CCCUGCUCUACAACAAUGAGCAGUGUGGCGUCACUGGGGGGAGGAGGGGGAGGGCCACGGCCCCAGCCCCUCGCCUGCUCCCAGCGGUCCCGAGGCCUCCUGUGGGUCCUUCCCAUCCUAGCUCCAGGAGCCCGACCUUGGGCAGGCCAUGAAGGGGCCUGGGGACAGGUCACAACUCCAGCAAGGUCACUUCCUGCCCCUCACUCUGCGGGCCCCCUCCUCCUGAAGAAGGCACUGGUGUUCUAGCCACAGAUAAUUCACAUACCACACAAGUCGCCAAGGUACAGGUGUGUUCAUGGCUUGAGGCGACUCUCACCACAAUCGACUCUGAAACAUUCGCCCGGCCCCACAGACAGUGCCUGUGCCCCUCAGCCAUUCCCACCCCACAAGCACAGCUCCGUCUCUGUAGGCUUCCGUGUUCCAGACACCUCACGGGACACGUGGACGAUGGAGAAGCAUUUCCCACCCAGACCCUCAUGUGAGCUACUCCCCUGAGCCCUCUGCACCUCGGAUCCCGGCUGCUGUUUGGGAGAGCUGACAGAUGCCUUCCUCAAACCGAACGCAGAAAUCUGUCUUGGAAAAGCACUAGCUGGCCCAUCCCCUGCUGGAACAACGGUUUUCUAGAAUGUUCCUGGUCACGCCCCCUGCUUACCUCCAGGAGAGGCCUCGGUACUGAGUAAAGACAUCCAGGAUGUUCCCAGGCUGGGACCCCGCCCCGUUGCCUGCCUGGAAGGGACAAGAAGGGCAACUCACCGUGAGGGAGUCACCCAUGGCGCCUAUGACCUUGAUGUCGGCGGGCUUCAGCCUGUGAACUGAGCAGACAAGCGAGAGUGAACAGACCAGGAGAUUUUCCCAGAAGGCAUGGGACCCAUCUCCCCUGCAG